AUUUUGUCUCGGCAGCGGUGGCCGUAGCUCCAUCGCAUUUUAUGUUUCUGGCGAGAAGGGAACGGAGUUUUCAUCAGGUAGAUUGGUUUUUGUGCGGCCGUCCUCCACCGUUUCCUCCAGGACAGCACCUAGUCGUGGCCGGAGGAGUCUCAGAGCUGUCAGAAAGUCACGCUCUGUCGCCAGGCUGAAGUCAGUGGCACCAUCUCGGCUCACUACAACCUCUGCCUCCCAGGUUCAAGCAAUUCUUCUGCCUCAGCCUCCCGAGUAGCUGGGACUACAGGCGCGUGCCACCACACCAGCUAAUUUUUUGUAUUUUUAAUAGAGCCAAGGGGCUUCACCAUGUUAGCCAUGGUGGUCUCGAUCUCCUGACCUCAUGAUCUGCCUGCCUCGGCCUCGUAAAGUGGUGGGAUUACGGGCAUGAGCCACGUGCCCAGCCUUCAUGUGUAUUUUAGACAAUGAAAAUGAUGUUAGACAAAAAAGCAAAUUCGAGCAGUUUUCGUUUUUGAGUUAAAAAUGGGUUGUAAAACAACAGAGACACCAUAUCAGCAAUGCAUAUGGUUCAGGAACUGUUAACUUACAGUGCAGUGGUGAUUCAAGAAGUUUUUUUGUUGUUGUUGUUUGAGAUGGAAUCUUGCUCUUUCAGGCUAGAGUGCAGUGGCAUGAUCUUGGCUCACUGCAACCUCUGCCUCCUGGGUUCAAGCCAUUCUGCCUCAGCCUCCCCAGUAGCUGGGAUUACAGGCACGCACCACCAUGCUCAGCUAAUUUUUGUAUUUUUAGUAGAGAUGGAGUUUCACCAUCUUGGCCCAGGCUGGUCUCGAACUCCUGACCUCGUGAUCCGCCCGCCUUGGCCUCCCAAAGUGCUGGGAUUACAGGCUUGAGCCGCUGUGCCUGGCAGUUUCAAGAAAUUUUGCAAAGGGAAGGAAAGUCUUGAAAAUCAGGAGCGUAGUGGCUGGUCGCCAGAAGUUGAUAACUACCGGUUAAGAGCAAUCAGCAAAGCUGAUCCUCUUAAGGCUACUUGAGAUGUUGCCGAAGAACUCAAUGUGGACCAUUCUACAGUCCUUCAGCAUUUGAAGCAAAUUAAAAAGUGAAAAAGCUCGAUAAGUGGGUGCCUCAUGAACUGACCGAAAAAAAAAGUCAUUGUUUUGAAGUGUCCUUAUCCCUUAUUUUUUGCAACAACAAACCAUUUCUUGGUCAGAUUGUGAUGUGCGAGAAAAAGUGGAUUUUAUACAACAACUGGUGAUGGCCAGCUCAGUAGAUGGACUGAGAAGAUUCUCCAAAGCACUUACCAAAGCCAAACUUGCACCAAAAAAAGGUCAUGGUCACUGUUUUGUGGUCUGCUGCUGGUCUGAUCCACUAUAGCAUUCUGAAUCCUGGCGAAACCAUUACAUCUGAGAAGUAUGGUCAGCAAAUCGAUGAGAUGCACCAAAAACUGCAACGCUUGCAGUCAGCAUUGGUCAACAGAAAGAGGCCCAAUUCUUCACAAUGCCCUUCCACAUGUUGCACAACCAAUGCUUCAAAAGUUGAACAAAUUGGGCUGUGACAUUUUGCCUCAUCCGCCAUAUUCACCUGACCUCUCUCCAUUGACUACGACUUCUUCAAGCAUUGCGACACCUUUUUGCAGGGAAAACACUUCCACAACUAGCAGGAUGCAGAAAAUGCUUUCCAAGAGUUCGUCGAAUCCUAAAGCAUGGAUUUCUACACUACAGGAAUAAACAACUUAAAAAUGUGUUGAUUGUAAUGGUUUCUAUUUUGAUUAAUAAAGAUGUGUUUGAGCCUAGUUAUAAUGAUAUAAAAUUCAUGGUCUGAAACCGCAGUUAUUUUUGCAUGAACGUAAAUGAUGAAUUUUAGAUGCUGAAAUUUCUGGGCAUCUAAAUCUUCUUUCACAUCCCUGAUUAUUUUUGGAAUAAACUCCCAGAAGUGGAAAUAUAAGGCUGAAGGCCUGGUGUGGUGGCUGAAGCCUGUAAUCCCAGCACUUUGGGAGACCGAGGUGAGCAGAUGGCUUGAGCCCAGGAGUUUGGGACAACAUGGUGAAACCUCAUCUCUACAAACAGUGCAAGAAAUCAGCCAGCGUGGUGGCGUGCACCUGUGUUCCCCGCUAAUCAAGAGGCUGAGGUGGGAUGAUCACCUGAGUCCAGGAGAUCAAGGCUCCAGUGAACCAUGAUUGUGCCACUGAACUCCAGCCUGGGUGACAGACUUCAUCUCAAAUAUAUAGAAUAAGACUGAUUUUAUGGGAAAAUUAAGCAGAUGCUCCAGUUUGAGAAACCUGGAUCUGCGAUCUGUUUGUGGUACCAGCAUCAAGAUGAUUUAUGGUAAUAAGGUACUCAGUCUUUGCUUAAAAUAAAUUUUACGUUUAUCAAAGU
ensembl:lncRNA PSMA3-AS1 PSMA3 antisense RNA 1